rnacentral:rRNA from 1 species
UACAGAGGGGGCAAGCGUUGUUCGGAAUUACUGGGCGUAAAGGGCGCGUAGGCGGCCUGCUAAGUCGAACGUGAAAUCCCCGGGCUCAACCCGGGAACUGCGUCCGAUACUGGUUGGCUUGAAUCCGGGAGAGGGAUGUGGAAUUCCAGGUGUAGCGGUGAAAUGCGUAGAUAUCUGGAGGAACACCGGUGGCGAAGGCGGCAUCCUGGACCGACACUGACGCUGAGGAGCGAAAGCCAGGGGAGCAAACGGG